GGCAGAGCGAGGCAAAGGCAAAACUAGGUGAGGCGAGGCAAAGGAGAGGCGAGGCGUGGCGAGGCAGAGCGAGGCAAAGGCGAAACGAGGCGAGGUGAGAGAAAGGACAGGCAAGGUGAGGCAAAGGUGAGGCAGAGCGAGGCAAAGGUGAGGCGAGGCGUGGUGAGGCAGAGCGAGGCGAGGCGAGGCGGGGCGAGGCGAGACGAGGUGAUAGGUGGCGAGGCAAGGCAAAGGCAAAGCGAGGCAUUGCAAAGUGAGGGAAAAGCGAGGCGAGGCGAGGCGAGCCAAGGCGAGGCAAAGGCAAGGCGAGGCGUGGCAACGUGAGCCGAUGCGAGGCGAGGCGAGGAGAGGCAAAGGCAAGGAUAAGGCGAGGUGAGGUGAGGCGAUGCGAGGCAAGACGAGGAGAUAGGUGGGGAGGAAAGGCAAAGGUGAAGCAAGGCGUUGCGAAGUGAGGGAAAGGCGAGGCAAGGCGAGGCGAGGCAAGGCAAAGGCAAGGCGAGGCGUGGCAGGGUGAGCCAAAGGCGAAGCGAGGCAUGGUGAGGGGAGGCGACGCGAAGCGGGGCGAAGUGAGACGAGGCAGGGCGUGACGAGGCGAGGCGAGGCAAAGGUGAGGCAAGGCGGGGUGAGGCGAGGCGAGGUGAGAUGAGGUGAUAGGUGGCGAGGCAAGGCAAAGACGAGGCGAGGCGUGGUGAGGCGAG
ensembl:lncRNA